rnacentral:rRNA from 1 species
GACGAACGCUGGCGGCGUGCUUAACACAUGCAAGUCGAACGAUGAACCGGAGCUUGCUCUGGGGAUUAGUGGCGAACGGGUGAGUAACACGUGGGCAACCUGCCCCAGACACCGGGAUAACCAUUGGAAACGAUGGCUAAUACCGGAUACGACCACUUCGGGCAUCCGAUGGUGGUGGAAAGGAUUCUGGUCUGGGAUGGGCCCGCGGCCUAUCAGCUUGUUGGUGGGGUAAUGGCCUACCAAGGCGACGACGGGUAGCCGGCCUGAGAGGGCGACCGGCCACACUGGGACUGAGACACGGCCCAGACUCCUACGGAGGCAGCAGUGGGGAAUAUUGCGCAAUGGCGAAAGCCUGACGCAGCGACGCCGCGUGAGGGACGAAGGUCUUCGGAUUGUAAACCUCUUUCUAGCAGGGAUGAAGCGAAAGUGACAGUACCUGCAGAAGAAGACACCGGCUAACUACGUGCCAGCAGCCGCGGUAAU